GGUGGCAAAAUGGUUAAAGUGCUUGGCUGUUAACCAAAAAGCUGGCGAUUCGAACCCGCCAGCCA
rnacentral:tRNA from 1 species